GAUGAACGCUAGCGGAAGGCAUAAUACAUGCAAGUCGAACGGAUGUAGCAAUACAUUAGUGGCGCACGGGUGCGUAACGCGUAUGCAACCUACCUUCAUCAGGGGGAUAACUACCCGAAAGGGUGGCUAACACCGCAUAAUACUAUUGAGUGGCAUCACUUGAUAUUUAAAUCUGAGGAGGAUGAAGAUGGGCAUGCGUCUGAUUAGCUAGUUGGUGUGGUAACGGUGAACCAAGGCGACGAUCAGUAGGGGAACUGGGAGGUUGGUCCCUCACACUGGACCUGAGAUACGGGCCAGACUCCUACGGGAGGCAGCAGUAGGGAAUAUUGGUCAAUGGUGGGAACACUUAACCAGCCAUUCCGCGUGCAGGAAGAAGGGUCUCUGACUUGUAAACUGCUUUAGCAAGGGAAGAAAAAGCUCAUGCGUGAGAAAUUGACGCUACCUUGAGAAUAAGCACCGUCUAACUACGUGCCCGCAGCCGCCGUAACAC
rnacentral:rRNA from 1 species